CAGAACCCUCAUGUAGGGCGUGACUAGGACCCUCAGAGUUUUUCAAGGGGUUUAAUGACUGGCUACAUUGGCAAAAAUAAUAUGAUGUCACUUUCUACUUUAUUUGGCCAAUUCUUCAAGAGAACAUCAAGGAACAGGGAGAAUCUAAAAGAGAGAAAGAGAGUAAAGGAAAAUUCAGGGUAGUAUGGUAUACCAUUCAGAAGCCUGGAACUGCUGCAGCUACCAUAAGGUACUUGGGAGACAAAGCCAAGGCAAGGAGAAGGGCUGAAUGCGAAGAAUAUUGAAGCAAAGGAGCUGAGGACAUGAUCAAACCGAACCUGAAGCUGACAUUGUCUCACCAUUUUCAAUUACAUGAGCUAAUCACUUGUAUUGUUUAA